rnacentral:piRNA from 1 species
UGCAAAAGGUUUGCCUAAUGGUAAUAAUGCC